GAGAGGAGGUGCAGCACUGUGUCUUUAAGCGCCGCGACAUCCCAUCAGCGGGACGGCAGGAUCAUUGUGUCCGUGCGCUCAUUUCGUUAGAGGGUCUGUGUAUUUCUGCUGGAUCUGCUGAAGGGAUGGUUAUAUCUACACUUAAAACCCUCGGAGGAGAGUAAAGGACUCAUAUCGCAUAAUAAUGAGGCGCCACGGAGGGAUUUUCGCCUCAUUAUUUAUUUUAUUGCCACUAUCAGUGUGGUGCGAACCCGUCAUCUCUCCCAGCGGGCCUCACAUUGUGGUUCCCAAGAGGGGGAAGCUGGAGCUCCGUUGCCAUGACAACGCCACCUCUCCCGGCGCCCCGUCCACGCUGAGGUGGGAGAGCGAGAAGGUCCGCCGGCUGGAGGGAGCGGUGGAGGAGGGCGGCGUGGCCUCCGUCAGGGUGCCGGCGGCGCAGGUCUACCACAUGGGGCGCUACGUGUGCGUCAACAACAGCACGCUGGAGCGCAGCUCCAUCUACGUUUACGUCAAAGACCCCCAUAAUGCGUUCCAGCGCACCAUGGUGAACGUGAUCCUGGUGCGGGCCGGGGAGAACUGCACCAUCCCCUGCCUGGUGACCGACCCCCAGGUCAGCGACCUGACCCUGGAGACCUGCGACGGGCAGCCCCUGCCCCCCGGGCUGAGCUACCACAGCAACCUGCAGCGCGGCGUCGUCAUCAGCCACGCUCGGAAGGAAUACGAGGGCUGCUACGUCUGCGCAGGCCGGCUGGCCGGAGCCAAAGUCACGUCCACCCAGUACACGGUGGACGUCCGACUUGCGCCAGAGUUACGCCCAGUGAUCAACCUUUCCCAGAAAGACACCGUCAUCCUGAAGACGGGGGAGGAGCUGAAGCUCACCUGCAACUCCACCAACGUCAACCCGGACUUCAGUCUGACGUGGGACUUCCCUCCGCCGGCGCAUCCGCGAGAAUCUCACACCUUCCACAUCCUGUCCGGCUCCCGCGGGUAUCAGCGCUCGGCGUCGCUCUCCAUCAGAGCUGUCAACCGGUCCGACUCGGGAAGCUACCGCUGCAGCGCCCACAACGAGAGGGGCGGCAGCAGAGCCGCCCUGCAGCUGGACGUGCACGACCAGGGCUUCAUCACCAUGUCGGGAGAGUCCGGUCCGGUCCAGGCGGAUGUUAAAGAAGGGGAGAGCCUGAGUCUCAGAGUUGACUUUGACGCGUACCCGGCGCCGCGCUCGCUGUCCUGGUCCUACACCGACAAGCGGCUCCUCAACACGACGGAGCACGUCAUCACCGUCCACCGGCACAAGUACAGAUACGUCAGCGAGCUGAGGCUGGUCAGGGUUCUGGCCUCGGAGGGGGGGAUCUACAAGUUCUCAGCCAGUCACGAAGACGCAUCCGUCGUGCAGUUAUUUCACGUCUACGUCAGCAGUAAACCUGUCAUCAUUGCCCAGGAGGGGCCGGUGGAGGGACAGGUACGGUGCAUCGCUGCAGGACACCCGGUUCCCAAAAUCAGCUGGUACUUCUGUGAUUUACCCAACACAAGGUGCUCACACCUGCCCAACGCCACCCAGUGGGAGGCCCCGGAGGCCGCCACGCUGACGGAGUCGGCCUUCGGCCGCAGCGAGGUGGAGAGCCGGCUGAACGUCAGCAAGGAGCACGCCCAGUACCACACCCUGGAGUGCGUGGCCUCCACGGAGGGGGAGGAGGCCUACACGCUGUUCUCCAUCAGCGAACGCAUCAUCCCCCACAAACUCUUCACGCCUCUCCUGACCGGCAUGGUGGCGACCGGCGCUUUCCUCUGCCUCCUCCUGGUCGUGCUGCUCUACAAGUACAUGCAGAAACCAAAGUUUCAGAUCCAGUGGAAGGUCAUCGAGAGCAUCAACGGGAACAACUACAUCUACAUCGACCCGCUGCAGCUGCCGUACGACCUCAAGUGGGAGUUUCCCCGGCAGAAGCUUCGCUUCGGUAAAACUCUGGGCUCGGGGGCCUUCGGGAAGGUGGUGAGGGCCACGGCGUACGGGCUCUGCUCCGUAGAUACCGUCACCAGCGUCGCCGUGAAGAUGCUGAAGCCCAACGCUCACGCCACGGAGAAGGAGGCGCUGAUGUCUGAGCUGAAGGUCCUCAGUUACCUCGGAAACCACGUGAACAUCGUCAACCUGCUGGGAGCCUGCACCGUCGGAGGCCCAAUUUUGGUGAUCACAGAGUACUGUUGCUAUGGCGACCUCCUCAACUUCCUGCGAAGAAAAAGAGAGUCCUUCCUAAACUCCCAGGUCGGGGACGGUUACUAUCGCAACGUUUCCAGCCAGAUGGAGACGACAAGAGACACCAGCAGCACAGGAUACAUGCCCAUGCGUCCCCCGGAGAAAGAAAGGUCCUCCCAGUCUGAUGACGUGGACGAGCUGUCGCUGGACGCUGAAGACCUGCUCAGCUUUUCCUACCAGGUUGCCAAAGGGAUGGAGUACAUUACUUCCAAGAACUGCAUCCACAGGGACCUGGCGGCCAGAAACGUUCUGCUGACUCACGGCCGGGUGGCAAAGAUCUGCGACUUCGGCCUGGCCAGAGACAUCACCACCGACGCCAGCUACGUCCUCCGGGGAAAUGCUCGUCUGCCGGUCAAGUGGAUGUCUCCGGAGAGCAUCUUCGACUGCGUCUACACCUUCGAGAGCGACGUGUGGUCCUACGGCAUCCUGCUGUGGGAGAUCUUCUCUCUGGGAAAUAGCCCGUACCCGGGGAUGCAGGUGGGCUCGGCCUUUUACAGGAUGAUUCAACAAGGCCACAGGAUGAACAGGCCGGAUUUCGCCCCCAUCGACAUGUACGACAUGAUGCUUUCCUGCUGGAACGACGACCCCUUGAAAAGACCGUCGUUCAGAAAACUGGUGGAGAGAACGGAGCUGCUGCUGUCUGAAAACACCAAGAACGUGUACCUGACGCUCAGCGACGGCCCCGGCGCCCCGGAGCAGCAGAGGGCGCCGUCGCGGCGGCUGAGCUCCGUGUGCAGCACGACGGCCCCCACCCAGCCGCUGCUGCAGCACACGGCCGACGUCUUCCAGGACUACGUCUGACGCAGCGCUGCAACACAUGUACAUACCCCCCCCAAACCCCCCCACCGGCCUCGCUGUUCACCCUCACCCCCACUCCGGACUGGAUAUCCAUUCAAACUGACUCCCACAUGCUGGCACUCCUGCUUCCUCUCUCUCUCUCUCACACACACACACACACACACACACACACACACACACACACACACACACACACACACACACACACACACACACACACACACACACACACACACACACACACACACACACACACACACACACACACACACACACACACACACUGUAUAUAUAUAUAUACCAGUCAGCAGUGGCUUUCAGCUACUUCGGUGUAUUGAUCUUCAUUGUAGGUAUUUCAGGUGCAACGUCCAACUCCUGCACUAAUAUCCAUCAGAAACAUCGAGCCUUCGGCGGCGAGGAGAGUUUUCUGGCUCAGACCUCGAUUACGCCUUGAGAUGCUUUUAUGAAAACAAAGGCUGCAGGAGCAGAUGAGGCGUGCCGAUGCAGCGACGACGUUUCUGCGUCGCAUUUGUUUUUCCUAUUCUGCUGGAUCGGUUUUUGACAUUUUGAGAGAUUUACAUUUGUCUUGUUGAGAAUUAUAUAAGAAGCAAAUAAUAAUAAGAAAAAAAAAAUCCCAACAUGUCUUAAGGUAGUCGUUGUCACUGUUUUUUUGGGUUCUUUGAUCAAAGUUAUCUUGUCUUGGAAGAGAAACGAUGAGCCGGCAUGCGAGCAGUGAUUCUGAAUAAAAAUAAAGCAAAGCCGUACGUAACAUACAUACCAAUCCACACCUGUGCGUCGUAGCUUUGAAUACUGUGACUAACUGCUGUAUUCCUGUACGUAACUUUACUCUGCUGAGAGAAAACCACUGAGGCCAGGGGUUUAUAACUGAUCGUGUGCUUUGUAUUGUCAAGGAUGUAUGCAAUGUAAAUACCAUAGAUAUGUGCCUUUAGAUCUGUUUUUUUUAAAUAUUGAAUGCGUUUGUUUGUGACAGUGAUGAGGGUGGACAGAAGAGAGAAUAAUCUGCCCUCUGGUUUUGAGGUUCUUGCAGUUUUGAUACAGUUGGUUGAAUUGUAAUAAUAAAGUACCUGUGAUGGUGGAACUGA